rnacentral:rRNA from 1 species
UACGACGGGUGCAAGCGUUAAUCGGAAUUACUGGGCGUAAAGCGUGCGUAGGCGGUUCGUUAAGUUCGUUGUGAAAGCCCCGGGCUCAACCUGGGAAUGGCAAUGGAAACUGGCGGGCUGGAGUAUGGCAGAGGGGGGUGGAAUUCCGCGUGUAGCAGUGAAAUGCGUAGAUAUGCGGAGGAACACCGAUGGCGAAGGCAAUCCCCUGGGCCCGCACUGACGCUCAUGCACGAAAGCGUGGGGAGCAAACAGG